GACGAACGCUGGCGGCGUGCUUAACACAUGCGAGUCGAACGGAAAGGCCCUGCUUUUGUGGGGUGCCCGAGUGGCGAACGGGUGAGUAGCACGUGAGUAACCUGCCCUUGACUUUGGGAUAACUUCAGGAAACUGGGGCUAAUACCGGAUAGGAGCUCCUGCUGCAUGGUGGGGGUUGGAAAGUUUCGGCGGUUGGGGAUGGACUCGCGGCUUAUCAGCUUGUUGGUGGGGUAGUGGCUUACCAAGGCUUUGACGGGUAGCCGGCCUGAGAGGGUGACCGGCCACAUUGGGACUGAGAUACGGCCCAGACUCCUACGGGAGGCAGCAGUGGGGAAUAUUGCACAAUGGGCGGAAGCCUGAUGCAGCAACGCCGCGUGCGGGAUGACGGCCUUCGGGUUGUAAACCGCUUUCGCCUGUGACGAAGCGUGAGUGACGGUAAUGGGUAAAGAAGCACCGGCUAACUACGUG
rnacentral:rRNA from 1 species